rnacentral:rRNA from 1 species
GAUGAACGCUGGCGGCGUGCUUAACACAUGCAAGUCGAACGGAAAGGCCCUUGCUUGCAAGGGUGCUCGAGUGGCGAACGGGUGAGUAACACGUAGGUGAUCUGCCUUUCACUUCGGGAUAAGCUUGGGAAACUGGGUCUAAUACCGGAUAUUCACGGCACCGUGGUUGGUGUGGUGGAAAGCUUUUGCGGUGGGAGAUGAGCUUGCGGCCUAUCAGCUUGUUGGUGGGGUAAUGGCCUACCAAGGCGGC